rnacentral:rRNA from 1 species
UACGUAGGGUGCAAGCGUUAAUCGGAAUUACUGGGCGUAAAGCGUGCGCAGGCGGUUAUGUAAGACAGUUGUGAAAUCCCCGGGCUCAACCUGGGAACUGCAUCUGUGACUGCAUAGCUAGAGUGUGUCAGAGGGGGGUAGAAUUCCACGUGUAGCAGUGAAAUGCGUAGAGAUGUGGAGGAAUACCGAUGGCGAAGGCAGCCCCCUGGGAUAACACUGACGCUCAUGCACGAAAGCGUGGGGGAGCAAACAGG